UUAAUUGAAACCAAACAGAGGUAUUUUAUUGUUAAUAAAAUAAUUGAAAUUAAUUUUCCAAUUAAA
rnacentral:tRNA from 1 species